UUGGCCGCCAUAGUAUUUGCCCUAAAAAUUAAAUCUAGAGACAUUACCUUUACGGGGUGAUCUGUCAAAUCUUCACUGAUCACAAAAGCCUCAAAUACAUUGUAAUACCCCAUAUUUUUAGUAUUUAUUUAAAUAAUAAAAUAUUUAUUUUAUAUUUAUUUUCUAAAAUAAAUAUUUUAAGUAAAGGGUAUUUUAGUAUUUUCAAUGAUUUUUAAUUAUUUUGGCGGGAAUAUGGCGCCAAAAUUGAAUUUGUUAAGCUUUUGGUAUUAAAUCCUAGUCAAAAAAUUUCAGAAAACCAAAAAAAAAAAAAAAAAAAAAAAAUUUUUUUUUUUAGGGGCCAUAUAUUCCUACGGGAUUUAUGGUGAAUGGAGGGAGUUUUGUUUUCCUAUAACUUCCAAAUUUAUGAUGGAUGUUACAAAUCUUGGUUUAAUCCCCUAAUUUAUGGUGAAGGUUACAAACUAUUUAAUUUUUGAAAUUAAGUACUACCUAUUCUACUCCUAUAAAUACCCCAUAUACCUUAAGCCAUCUUUUCCACACAACAACUUUGAAGAAUUCAUAUUCUCUUACUUCAAAGUUCUUCUUUCUCUUCCUAUCUAUUCUAGUUUUAUAUUUCUUAUUCAAGUUUCAAUUUUCUUUGGUUUAAGAAAAAUAUUUUCAUAUUUCUUACUCAAAAAUAUUAUGCUCAUGAUAGGUCAUUCAUGUUUAAAUUCAUGAUUAAGUUCAUGUGGUAAAUUGCUUAUUGGUUGGUUAUGAGAAAGCUCAAGUAUAAGAAUACGUGAAGAUACUAGUAUACUUUUUGUGCAAGAUCAAGAUUUGCAGGUGAAUUUUGGAUGUGCAUGAGAGCAUACUAGGAACGGGAUCUUCACCUAGAUUAGAGUGUUUCAUUUAUUUUGAGUAUUGAGACAAUAUUUACUUUUAUUAAUAAAAAAGUAUUAUUAUUAUUUUUGGUUAAA